GUCGAGGAUCUUUUGCAAUGCGCGAAAGCGUGACAAAGCGACGCUGCGUGGAGGAUGAAGGCCUUCGGGUUGUAAACUCCUGUCUUUCGGGAAAAACGGCGGGGAGGUCAAUACCCUCUCCGAUUGAUGGUACCGGAGGAGGAAGCCGCUGCCAACUCUGUGCCAGCAGCAGCGGUAAUACAGAGGCGGCGAGCGUUGUUCGGAUUUACUGGGCGUAAAGGGUGCGUAGGUGGUUCCGUGUGUCGGGUGUGAAAUCCCACCGCUCAACGGUGGAACUGCAUUCGAAACUGCGGGGCUUGAGUACAGGAGGGGAGGGCGGAAUUCUCGGUGUAGCGGUGAAAUGUGUUGAUAUCGAGAGGAACACCGGUGGCGAAGGCGGCCCUCUGGAAUGUUACUGACACUGAGGCACGAAAGCUGGGGGAGCAAACAGGAUUAGAUACCCGUGUAGUCC
rnacentral:rRNA from 1 species